UAUCAAUGAGUAGCAACUCAAUAUUUUUUUUUGUUUUUCAAAAUUAUUUUCUUAAUUAAAAUUUUGAUUACUGGCAUCAGUGAGUCGGAUCGCCUGGAGAAGGUCUCGAAACUUCUGACUCGUCUUUCUUUUCUUUUCUUUUCUUUUUUUAAUCCUUCUCUCUUUUCUUUCGUUUCCCGUCGGCUCCUAUUUCAUCGUUGCUGUAAGCAAAAUCCCGGCUCUCUGAUCACCUCUCUGCUCUCGUCUUCCCGUGCUGACGCUUCUGAUCGAUCCCUCCUCCGGAUCCGGUAACUCCCCCUUCCUCUUCCCCGACUACUCCCUUCCUCUUCCCUUCGAACUCCGACGCCGGCGAAGCGAUGCCGCCCGAACCCCAGCCGUAACCUUCUUAAUGCCGGAAACCUAACCAUUUUCACGACGGAAUCGGUCUCCUAUCCCGUGCUGACGCUUCCGAUCGAUCCCUCCUCUGAUUCCGGUAACUCUUUCUUUUCUUUUCCUUUUUUUUUCUUUUAUCCUUCUCUCUUUUCUUUCGUUUCUCGUCGUCUCCUUUUUUUCAUCUUUGCUGUAAGCAAAAUCCCAGCUCUGUGAUCACCUCUCUGCUCUCAUCUUCCCGUGCUGGCGCUUCUGAUGGGUCCCUCCUCCGGAUCCGAUAACUCCCCUUCCUCUUCCCCGACUACUCCCUUCCUCUUCCCUUCGAACUCCGACGCUGGCAAAACGAUGCCGCCCGAACCCCAGCCGUAACCUUCUUAACGUUGGAAACCUAACCAUUUUCACGACGGAAUCGGUCUCCAAUCCCGUGCUGACGCUUCCGAUCGAUCCCUCCUCCGAUUCCGAUAACUCCCCCUUCCUCUUCUCCGCCCCGCGAGUCUUCCAUGCGGAAGACACAUGGUGGCCGGAGGCAUCUGCGUUGGACGGAGGCUCUGCCAACACAGAUGCCUCCGUUCCCCAAAUCCCACGGCUUUGAACUCAAUCCCCCUUUCGUUCUUGAACGCCUCUCAAUUCAUAUUCCCACGACCAAGAGAAAGAAUACCAACAAGACAGAAUACCCACAAGCAUCGUACUAGCCCUUUUACACUCUGAGAGCACUAUGAGACCCCUGCGAUCUGAAGCUGCGAUAGGAAGGGGAGAUGAAUCGAGAGAAGAGAAGAUGCGAUCUGAAGGGGAGACGAAUUGAGAGAAAGAAGAGAAGAAAGAAAAGAUGGCGAUUUCCCGUAUACCGCGCAUUCCAAAAAAAAAAAAACUGGCAAUUAAAGUUGGAUCGCAUAACUGAAAUCUUCCCCGUAUCCGGUGGAAUGGAUGCCGCACGUUCUAAAAAAAAAAACUGUACCAAUUCCAAGAAGAUGCACCAAUUGUGGGAGAUCACGAUUCUCCCGUCUUCUCUCGAAGUCCCAUCUUCUCUCGAAUCAUGUUCAGAAUUUUCUCUCCAAAAUAUCCGAUUUUGGAGCUGCUAUGGGAAGAAAAAUCUCAGAUCAAUAGAACGUCCCACAAUAUAUAUAUGGCUACAGUGACCCAAAGUUUAUGAAUUUCAGGCUGAUGGUAGGCAUUGUGACUCCCUCAAUUGAUGUAUAUGGUUUUGGUGCAUUACUAUUAACAUUAAUCACGAAGAGGCAUGACUUACUCAAAUGCACUAAGUUUGGACGUAUUGGAUCCUGUCUUCUAAUAUCUUGGAAAACCUGAGGAGUUCUUUCCUAAUGAUGUUUAUCUGCAUGACUUUACAGAGUCCAUUGUCCAGAGGAGUUUCCUUGAAAAAGACAAUUACCACUCCCAGGAUGGUUCUGAUCUUACACAACUGACCAUGGAAUGUGUGAAGGUAUAUGAUGAAAAAGGUCUGCGUGCUCCGUGCCUUAAAUAUCUGAUGUUGUAAACAGUCUGGAGUGCUUACUUGUAGUCUGCGAACUCGGGUUGCACCAUGGAAACCCUCUUUCAUGUUGAUGGUUUCAUUUUGUAGCCUGGGAGCCACUGAUCAGCAUGCCACAUGCUGCUUCCAGUGAUACUCAACUUUAAGCAACAGCUUUUGUUGAUUUCUCUUCAUUAACAUAUUGAGUUUAGUCGAAUUUCAUGGAAGUUACUUUUUUGUUGAUGUCUAGAUGACAUAUGGUUGUAAUGGCUCUUGCAUUAUACGAAGUGGAAAUUGGUUUGAUAAGUUUGUAAUGUGAAAUCUUGCACAUGCAGUUAUCAGCUUUUCUUAUUGUCCAGUGAUGAUCUUAGGUUCAUUCAUCUUUCUGUAAAUGAGCUGAAAUAUACAAGAUUUGAGAAACUUGCAGGGAAAGCAGAUGUAGUCUUUAAAGGAAAUGAUUGUCGAAGAAGGAUAUGUAGAAGUGACAUCGUAUGGUUUUGGUUAAGGCUUGAGGAUUUUGUCAUAGCCUCUCUGUUUACUUCUUAGUUCUUUAACAAUAAAAGCUGCAAAGUAUAUCAAGUUGAACUAGAAAGUCUCUCAUUGUGCUGUUUUCUUUUCUGCAAGCCAAUUGGUGCUUUUUGUUUCCUUUCCUCUGAUGGCAAGAUAUUUUUUAAACUGUUGAUGCCUUGUAGCAGAUUCCAGAUAUUCCCCUUGUCAGUUUAUUUUGGAUGCAGUCACCUGGAAGCAGAUAAUUUUAUCGUAUUUACCCUGUCAAUGGUGUUAAUUCUAUUUUAAGUGCAACAAAUGUUCUGAAAUUUCAUUAUGAGUCUUAGGUGAAUUAGAAAUAGCGAGAGCAAUUCUAUUUCAGAAUCAUUUGACCAGUUAAAUUGUAAUUAAAUUGGAGAGGAUCGGUAGUUUUGAAAGUAAAUGCUACAGAGAAAAUUAUGUUCAGGGAGCUAUUCAGUGUUGAAUACUAGCGGAAUGUAUCUUUCUUUCUGAAUUAGCGGAUGUGUUAAGCCUGAUUUUUUGAUGAUUAUAUCAAAUAUCAUGGUGAUGUGACAUCAUUAGUGCAUGCCUCAACUGAAUGUGCACUAUCUACUCUAAUCGAUGACCUUUGCUGAAGCGCGCCUAGAAUUAGUAAAAUUUUAUUUAUUUAUUAUUUUUAUACUAUUUUUUUCUCUUUUGGGGAAAUGGGGGAUAAGGAAUUCGGUGGAAGGGUGUUUGAAUUGCAGAUUUUGAUGGGUUCAGAUCCUGCUGCAACCCCUUUCUUUUUUGGCAGGGGUUGGGGCUGGGCGGGAUGAUGGAGAUUGUGUUGAAGGGCUGUUAAAAACUUCAGAUUUAAUUGCUUCAGAUUGCAAUUCAUAUCUUGAAGCUAUAGAUGGGUUUGGAAUAUGUUAUGAUGGGACAGAGGUCAUUUUUCUGGCCGCCGACCCAGUUUUUUCUCCUCAUCUUGCAUUCCGUACAAUGGACGCUGCAUUAUCUUUUGCAGAGAUAACAGGUAAAUAACCUGGAUUAAAUUAAAGUCUGCCAAUAGUCAAGUUUCCGCUUUCUUCCAAAUCAUUGCAAGUUUAUAUUUCCAGGGACAUGUCAUUGUGAUGAAUGAUCCCCCAGAUGCUAUAAAAAUAGCUCUUUUUAUGAUGCAACAUAGGUUAAUGUUUUAAAUGCCGUGAGAUGAGGCGAUCCUGGUUAUCCUAUGGAAUGGGGCACACCACCAUCUCGUCCUGUUCCGAUACUUGGGAUAGGGGAUGUUCCAAGACAUCUUGAUUGGGAUGCUGGGAUGCUAGCAAGAUGGUCUUAUCCCGACAGAAGGGAUGGUAUUCCAUCUUGAUGUUCAAUGGGAUGUCUCGUUGGGAUCUGAAUCCUUGACAUAUGUAUUUUAAUUUAAGCUUGCAUUGCUAGUUAGAUAUGUAUUAGUUCAUUGUGUAUGGAAGUCAGUUGACUGUUUCCAAAAGUUGAGAAAUCAAAGGUAACAAGUUUUGACUAAUGUAUCUUUUCAUUCAUGUUUAAAUUACAACAUAAAGUACUGUGAUGGUUGGCUUUUCUAUCUCCAAUUGGUGUGUGGCUCUUAGUUGCUGGGUUUGGUUCUGUAAGUAGUUGCAUAUGAAUAUGAGACCUUGCUUGGAGAUUGUGUGUUUUUAGGGACGCUUGUUGUAUUCUUUUGCCCUCCCUCAGAAGGAAGGCUCUUUUGCUUUUCAUCUGAAGCAUUUAGCUUCCAAUCCCAGGUAAAGGUAAAUUUCUCUUCAAAUCAGGAAUUAUUUCAGAGGAUCAUCCUCUCACUUGCCCUUUAUUUGAUAUUUAUACCUACUGCAUCUUGUUGUUCUCUGUUA